rnacentral:rRNA from 1 species
CUAAGAAUAUUCCGCAUGGACGGAAGUCUGACGGAGCGACGCCGCGUGGAUGACGAAGGCCGAAAGGUUGUAAAGUUCUUUUGCUGGGGAAGAAUAACCGCAGGAGGGAAUGCCUGUGGGAUGACAAGAACCGGCGAAUAAGCCCCGGCCAACUACGUGCCAGCAGCCGCGGUAACACGUAGGGGGGCGAGCGUUGUUCGGAAUUACUGGGCGCAAAGGGCAUGUAGGCGGCUUGGAAAGCCUGGCGUGAAAGUCUGCAGCUUAACUGCAGGGGUGCGCUGGGAACUGCUGAGCUUGAGUGACGGAGAGGGGAGCUGGAAUUCCUGGUGUAGGGGGUGAAAUCUGUAGAUAUCAGGAAGAACACCGAUGGCGAAGGCAAGCUCCUGGCCGAUGACUGACGCUGAGGUGCGAAAGUGUGGGGGAUCAAACGGGGAUUAGAUACCCUGGUAGUCCACACAGUCAACGAUGUGCACUAGGUGCGUGGGGGCGGGUAGCCUCCGGUGCCGGAGCGAACGUGGUAAGUGCACCCCUGGGGAGUAUGCUCGCAAGGGUGAAACUUAAAGG